rnacentral:tRNA from 1 species
GCGGCCGUGGUCUAGCCUGGUCUAGGACUCAGGCCCUCCAAGCCUGCGACGCGGGUUCAAAUCCCGCCGGCCGCA